GAGACAGCAGUAGCCGCGGUAAUACGAAGGUCCCGAGCGUUGUUCUGAAUCACUGGGCGUAAAGGGAGCGUAGGCGGCGUGGUAAGUCAGAUGUGAAAUCCCGGGGCUCAACCCCGGAACUGCAUCCGAUACUGCCAUGCUAGAGGAUUGGAGAGGUAGCUGGAAUUCUUGGUGUAGCAGUGAAAUGCGUGGAGAUCAAGAGGAACACUCGUGGCGAAAGCGAGCUACUGGACAAUAACUGACGCUGAGGCUCGAAGGCCAGGGUAGCGAAAGGGAUUAGAGACCCCGGUAGUCCCUGUCUCUUAUAC
rnacentral:rRNA from 1 species